rnacentral:rRNA from 1 species
CCUACGGGGGGCAGCAGUGGGGAAUAUUGGGCAAUGGAGGAAACUCUGACCCAGCAACGCCGCGUGAAUGAUGAAGGUCUUCGGAUUGUAAAGUUCUUUUCUAAGGGAAGAAGAAAGUGACGGUACCUUAGGAAUAAGCCUCGGCUAACUACGUGCCAGCAGCCGCGGUAAUACGUAGGAGGCAAGCGUUAUCCGGAAUGACUGGGCGUAAAGGGUGCGUAGGUGGUUUGACAAGUUGGUAGCGUAACUCCGAGGCUUAACCUCGGCACUACUACCAAAACUGUUGGACUCGAGUGCAGGAGGGGCAAAUGGAAUUCCUAGUGUAGCGGUGGAAUGCGUAGAUAUUAGGAGGAACACCAGUGGCGAAGGCGAUUUGCUGGACUGUAACUGACACUGAGGCACGAAAGCGUGGGGAGCAAACAGGAUUAGAUA